UGAAUACGAGACGCUAAGGCGUCGAAGUAGUGUAUGUCAUACUUCCAAGAAAAGCUUGCACUGUCAUAGAUAAAAAACGCCUGUACCAUAACCGACACAGGUGGGUAGGUAGAGUAUACUAAGGGGCGCGAGAUAACUCUCUCUAAGGAACUCGGCAAAAUAACUCCGUAACUUCGGGAGAAGGAGUGCCUUAUUCUUAAGGUUGCAAUAACAAGAUCCAAGCAACUGUUUAUCAAAAACACAGGUCUCCGCUAAGUCGUAAGACGAUGUAUGGGGGCUGACGCCUGCCCAGUGCCAGAAGGUUAAAGAAGCUGGUUAGCUUUUGCGAAGCUAGUAACUGAAGCCCUGGUGAACGGCGGCCGUAACAAUAACGGUCCUAAGGUAGCGAAAUUCCUUGUCGGGUAAGUUCCGACCCGCACGAAAGGCGUAAUGAUUUGGAUACUGUCUCGGAGAGGGGCUCGGUGAAAUAGACUUGUCUGUGAAGAUGCGGACUACCUGCACCAGGACAGAAAGACCCUAUGAAGCUUUACUGUAACUUGAAAUUGAAAUUGGACUUUAUUCGCGCAGUAUAGGUGGGAGGCGUUGAUUAUAAUCUUGCGGGAUUAUUGGAGCCAUUAGUGAGAUACCACUCUUGUAAUGUUAGAUUUCUAACUUUGAAUCAUUAUCUGGUCAAAGAACAGUUUCAGGCGGGCAGUUUGACUGGGGCGGUCGCCUCCCAAACGGUAACGGAGGCGUACAAAGGUUUCCUCUGAACGGUUAGAAAUCGUAUCUAGAGUGUAAAGGCAUAAGGAAGCUUGACUGUGAGACCUACAAGUCGAGCAGGGACGAAAGUCGGUCUUAGUGAUCUGACGGUACUGAGUGGAAAGGCCGUCACUCAACGGAUAAAAGUUACUCUAGGAUAACAGGCUGAUCUCCCCCAAGAGUUCACAUCGACGGGGAGGUUUGGCACCUCGAUGUCGGCUCAUCGCAUCCUGGGGCGGUAGUACGUCCCAAGGGUUGGGCUGUUCGCCCAUGAAAGCGGUACGCGAGCUGGGUUCAGAACGUCGUGAGACAGUUCGGUCCAUAUCCGGUGUAGGCGUUAGAAUAUUGAGAGGAGCCUUCUUUAGUACGAGAGGACCGAGAAGGACAUACCUCUGGUGUACCAGUUAUCGUGCCAACGGUAGACGCUGGGUAGCUAUGUAUGGAGUGGAUAACCGCUGAAAGCAUCUAAGUGGGAAGCCCACCUCAAGAUAAGUAUUCUCA
rnacentral:rRNA from 1 species